AGUGAACGCUGGCGGUAGGCCUAACACAUGCAAGUCGAACGGCAGCACAGUAAGAGCUUGCUCUUACGGGUGGCGAGUGGCGGACGGGUGAGGAAUACAUCGGAAUCUACUUUUUCGUGGGGGAUAAUGUAGGGAAACUUACGCUAAUACCGCAUACGACCUACGGGUGAAAGCAGGGGAUCUUCGGACCUUGCGCGAUUGAAUGAGCCGAUGUCGGAUUGGCUAGUUGGCGGGGUAACGGCCCACCAAGGCGACGAUCUGUAGCUGGUCUGAGAGGAUGAUCAGCCACACUGGAACUGAGACACGGUCCAGACUCCUACGGGAGGCGGCAGUGGGGAAUAUUGGACAAUGGGCGCAAGCCUGAUCCAGCCAUACCGCGUGGGUGAAGAAGGCCUUCGGGUUGUAAAGCCCUUUUGUUGGGAAAGAAAAGCAGCAGGUUAAUACCCCGCUGUUCUGACGGUACCCAAAGAAUAAGCACCGGCUAACUUCGUG
rnacentral:rRNA from 1 species